AUUCACUUCAUGAUGGUGGAGGUCAGUGUUACAGGGUGGUAGUCAUUCACUUCAUGAUGGUGGAGGUCAGUGUUACAGGGCGGUAGUCAUUCACUUCAUGAUGGUGGAGGUCAGUGUUACAGGGUGGUAGUCAUUCACUUCAUGAUGAUGGAGGUCAGUGUUACAGGGUGGUAGUCAUUCACUACAUGAUGGUGGAGGUCAGUGUUACAGGGUGGUAGUCAUUCACUUCAUGAUGGUGGAGGUCAGUGUUACAGGGAGGUAGUCAUUAAUGAUGAUGGAGGUCAGUGUUACAGGGUGGUAGUCAUUCACUUCAUGAUGGUGGAGGUCAGUGUUACAGGGUGGUAGUCAUUCACUUCAUGAUGGUGGAGGUCAGUGCUACAGGGUGGUAGUCAUUCACUUCAUGAUGGUGGAGGUCAGUGUUACAGGGUGGUAGUCAUUCACUUCAUGAUGGUGGAGGUCAGUG
ensembl:lncRNA